GGAAGUGUAGCUCAAUGGCAGAGCAGCUCCUUGUUAAGGAGAGGGUUGUUGGUUCGAAUCCAGCCGUUUCCGCCA
rnacentral:tRNA from 1 species